rnacentral:rRNA from 1 species
AUGAACGCUGGCGGCGUGCCUAAUACAUGCAAGUCGAGCGAACGGACGAGAAGCUUGCUUCUCUGAUGUUAGCGGCGGACGGGUGAGUAACACGUGGAUAACCUACCUAUAAGACUGGGAUAACUUCGGGAAACCGGAGCUAAUACCGGAUAAUAUUUUGAACCGCAUGGUUCAAAAGUGAAAGACGGUCUUGCUGUCACUUAUAGAUGGAUCCGCGCUGCAUUAGCUAGUUGGUAAGGUAACGGCUUACCAAGGCAACGAUGCAUAGCCGACCUGAGAGGGUGAUCGGCCACACUGGAACUGAGACACGGUCCAGACUCCUACGGGAGGCGGCAGUAGGGAAUCUUCCGCAAAGGGCGAAAGCCUGACGGAGCAACGCCGCGUGAGUGAUGAAGGUCUUCGGAUCGUAAAACUCUGUUAUUAGGGAAGAACAUAUGUGUAAGUAACUGUGCACAUCUUGACGGUACCUAAUCAGAAAGCCACGGCUAACUACGUG